rnacentral:rRNA from 1 species
AUGAACGCUGGCGGCAGGCCUAAUACAUGCAAGUCGAGCGGUCCCUUCGGGGGCAGCGGCGGACGGGUGAGUAACGCGUGGGAACGUGCCCUUUGGUACGGAACAACUGAGGGAAACUUCAGCUAAUACCGUAUGUGCCCUUCGGGGGAAAGAUUUAUCGCCAUUGGAGCGGCCCGCGUUAGAUUAGCUAGUUGGUAGGGUAAUGGCCUACCAAGGCGACGAUCUAUAGCUGGUCUGAGAGGAUGAUCAGCCACACUGGGACUGAGACACGGCCCAGACUCCUACGGGAGGCAGCAGUAGGGAAUCUUGCGCAAUGGGCGAAAGCCUGACGCAGCCAUGCCGCGUGAAUGAUGAAGGUCUUAGGAUUGUAAAAUUCUUUCACCGGGGACGAUAAUGACGGUACCCGGAGAAGAAGCCCCGGCUAACUUCGUGCCAGCAGCCGCGGUAA